rnacentral:rRNA from 1 species
UACAGAGGUCUCAAGCGUUGUUCGGAAUUACUGGGCGUAAAGGGUUCGUAGGUGGCUUGUUAAGUCAGACGUGAAAUCCCUCGGCUCAACCGGGGAACUGCGUCUGAGACUGAUGAGCUCGAGUGCAGGAGAGGAACGCGGAAUUCCAGGUGUAGCGGUGAAAUGCGUAGAUAUCUGGAGGAACACCGGUGGCGAAGGCGGCGUUCUGGACUGCAACUGACACUGAGGAACGAAAGCCAGGGGAGCAAACGGG